GGCCCGGUGGCCGAGUGGUUUAGGCACCUGCCGCGAUAGCAGAGGACGCUGGUUCGAUUCCAGCCUGGGGCA